ACCCCCGUGCUCAGGGUGAGGGUUAGAUGAUCCAUAAUGGGCUGCUCCGUCUUCAAGGUGAGGGUUAGAUGAUCCAUAAUGGGCUGCUCCGACUUCAUGGUGAGGGUUAGAUGAUCCAUAUAAGGUGAGGGUUAGAUGAUCCAUAAUAAGGUCCUUCUUCAAGGUGAGGGUUAGAUGAUCCAUAAUAAGGUCGUUCUUCAAGGGGAGGGUUAGAUGAUCCAUAUAAGGGGAGGGUUAGAUGAUCCAUAUAAGGUGAGGGUUAGAUGAUCCAUAAUAAGGUCCUUCUUCAAGGGGAGGGUUAGAUUAUCCAUAAUGGGCUGCUCCGUCUUCAAGGUGAGGGUUAGAUGAUCCAUAAUAAGGCGGAGCUACUGAGGGGAUCGGUGCUGAUUGGACGAGGGUCUGAAGGAGGAGCACGGAUCAAUAUAAGCGAUGAUGCAGAAUGUGGUGCUCAGAGCUGACCUGAGUCUGUGUGU